rnacentral:tRNA from 1 species
GUCCAUAUAGCUCAGUUGAAUAGAGCAACAGCCUCCUAAGCUGUAGGUCGGAAGUUUGAUUCUCCCUAUGGACGCCA